UACGUAGGGGGCAAGCGUUGUCCGGAAUCAUUGGGCGUAAAGAGCGUGUAGGCGGCCCGAUAAGUCCGCUGUGAAAGUCCAGGGCUCAACCCUGGAAUGCCGGUGGAUACUGUCGGGCUCGAAUCCGGAAGAGGUGAGUGGAAUUCCUGGUGUAGCGGUGAAAUGCGCAGAUAUCAGGAGGGACACCAAUGGCGAAGGCAGCUCACUGGGACGGUAUUGACGCUGAGACGCGAAAGCGUGGGGAGCAAACAGG
rnacentral:rRNA from 1 species